rnacentral:lncRNA from 1 species
UACAAAAUAUUUAAUUGAUUCUCUUAAUAGUUGAUUAUUUCUAUGGUAUAGCUAACAAUAAUUAUUUUAAAAGUUACAAUAUUACCAAACUAGCCCAAAGUCCUAGUAUCAACUCGAUUUAAACACAAUAACCCAUGAAGGACUACCUAAUAUUUCAGUUUUAUGACAAUAAACAUGUUUUAAUGAACCAAUUAUUUAUGUUUCUAUGUAAUAUAGAUGCUCUGCAAUUCCUUUUUUGUUUUUCAUGUUAUAAUAAUAUGGAAGCAACUAACUUAAUGAACCAAUUCGUUUAAUGAACCAAUUAUUUAUGUUACUAUGUAAUAUAUAUGCUCUGCAAUUCGUGUUUUUUUUUUCAUGUAUAAUAAUGUGGAAACAACAAACUUUAUUAACGCAGCUGGCAAUACGUGAGAACUAUGAAACUGAGGGGGUAAAGAAUAAAAUUUACCUAGAUAAAGGUCAUUUUUAAAGUUUGGCGUCCUAGACCUCCCAUAAUUCCGCUCCUCCGUACACGUAUUGCUCAUGAAGAUAUUAAUUAUCAGCCACAAUUUGUAUUAUUCUUGUGGAUUGGAGAUAAGAAUUAUUCUUGUCAAUUACAUGGUACAUAUUCAUAUUCAUUUUGGGUUUUACCCCAAAACGGGACAUGCUCAGUUGAUAGACAUCCCAAGUCUUAUAAAAUCUGAGGUAAAUAAUAUUUGUGUUUUUGCUGGUCAUUCAAUAUGUUAAACACAUGUACUUUCUCUUUUUGCUUGUUUGUCUAGUGAAGUCUUACAAAACUAAAUUAACUAUUUUAUCCUAUGGCUUUAUAUUUCAAUUCUUAUAAUUUUUGUUACCCCAUGGCUUUAGUUUAAAUAUUUGUCGAGGUCUUCCCCAUAGCUGCCAUUGCCCAAUCUCGAAAGGAGAAGAUGAAGAAGGUAGAAAACUAAGGAAAGUGGAUUAGGAGGACAAAAAAGUAAUAAUAAUAGUGAAUGCAUAUUUUCCCCCGUUCCACGUUCCGGUGAAAAUGGAUAAAAUGCCCUCUACGUGGAUUUGGACUAGUACCUUCAAUGUAGCGAUACGCAUCUUUAAUAGCUGCAAAUUCAGGAAUUUUUGCUUUUUAUAUACGUCGGCCAUGAACUCGAGGAUUUGAUAGUGGUAAUUAAAAAGGUUACAAGCAGAGCAUAAAUAGGAAUAACGCUCUUCGUUUAUAAUAAUACAACGAAGAUAGAGCUAUAAAUUCAUUUUAAAUUUAUUAUAUAUAAACUGAAUUAAAUAACUCUUGAUUUUUGCAGUUAUCGGCUUGAUUAAAUUACAGGGGUGCAUGAAACGACUUUGAAAUUUUUGAGCCAUUUCAGCCCAAAACGACCCUCAGGCCAGUCAACAAAAGCAGUCAAAUACAGUGGGAUUCGGAGUUGUUCCAUACCAGUGGCUCCAAACAACCUAAAAAAAUUUCUGCAGAUGGGGACCGUUCCUGAUAAAUCAUAAAUCCAUGAAAUGAAAUCAGAUUGAGCAAUUAAGAGUGCAUUUGGGAUUAAUGUUGGAUAGGUAUAACUUAAAAGUUAUAGCACUAAGGUGUUUGGUAAAUACUAAUUGCUGUAAUUUGAAACCUAUGUUAAUAUGGUUUUUCACUUAUAUCAUGAAAAAUCUAUUAUAUCUUUA